GGAUGUGGGGGAGAUCUGGCUGCGACAUCUGUCACCCCAUUGAUCGCAGGGCUUGAUUCGGCCGAUCUGGCUGGCUAGGCGGGUGUCCCCUUCCUCCCUCACCACUCCAUGUAUGUCCCUCCCAAAGCUUCGGGGAUGGCCUUCCCCAAUAGAGACAGACCGGUCUUUGGUAGAAGGUAUGGGAGUAGAUGCGCUCCCCUGAUAGAACCUCCAAACAAGCUCUCAAGAGUUGCUGGAAAGAGAAAUGGAAUAAUGUAGUAGGUGAAAGUGUAGUAAAGCUUGAGCCCAGUCCUUUGAACGGCCAAGUAGAGUCUG
ensembl:misc_RNA 7SK 7SK RNA